GAUUCAUUGUAACGUAGGUAUCUCACGUUCAUAUCCGCGGUGUUCAGUUUUCAGUCGAUGGGAAUCACACACUCUCACAUUUCGAUACGGAUGAUUGGAAAACAUCUGACAUGGAUUGACGUUGGGAGAAUUUAGAAAAGUGAAUCCCGGUAACUAGCCUUUGAAAACAAAGAGUGAUAACGUGCAUGUCGCUUUAUUUUGUUAAAUUCAAAUGUAUUACACACCUACCGUUCAGCAGAUAAGAUAUGUUGACGAAUAUUGAUGAGGAGCAAUGCAAAUGAAUGCAGGCGGAUAAUAUCCGAAUGGACUUCGUAGUUGGGUUUGUUCAUCCACCGCAUUUGAGGUGAAAGAUCGGAUAGGUUGACCAUUUUCUUUCUCAUGAUGAAUGCUAUAAAAGUGGACGAAAUCGUCAGAAGGCGGUAUUAGCGCUCGAUCUUCCCUAGGCUUCACAAGCUAGAACGUUAGCCAGCUGUAACUAAAAUGCGUUCGCUCAAGUUAAUAUACGUGUGGCUGUUACUUUUGUCAAGCAUACUUGUUUUAUCACAAGGAUUUCCUCAAUUUGAGCCACAGCGAUUCAGUGACGACGAUGGAGUUGUUCGUGCUGGAGAGCAAAGCGUUGUCCAAGAGUCGCAACAUCUGCGAUCGAAGCGUGCAUUGUGCACCGGCAAAUUUAGUAAAAUAUUGAUUCAACCAUGUGUUUUUCACUGCGAAACCCUUGGCAUGCGUGGUAAAUGCAAUGACAACAGAAGAUGCAGCUGCUUUCCGUUCUAGGUAGAAUGGAUAGUGCGGAAUAAAUAAAUUAAAAUUUGAUUAAUACAUUUCUUCAUUAACUCUA